rnacentral:rRNA from 1 species
CGGCAACAGCUCAAAUUUGAAAUCUGGCCCCUCGGGGUCCGGGUUGUAAUUUGUAGAGGAUGUUUUGGGUACCGCCCCGGUCUAAAUUUCUUGGAACAGGACGUCAUAGAGGGUGAGAAUCCCGUAUGUGACUGGUUACCUUCGCUCAUGUGAAGCUCUUUCGAC